rnacentral:tRNA from 1 species
UAAGUUUUAUUUUAAAAUAGAAUAGUUAGUUGUUACCUAACAGGUGUAAUUAAUUACAAACUUAU